rnacentral:rRNA from 1 species
UACGAAGGGGGCUAGCGUUGUUCGGAUUUACUGGGCGUAAAGGGCGCGUAGGCGGAUUUUUAAGUCAGGGGUGAAAUCCCAAGGCUCAACCUUGGAACUGCCUUUGAUACUGGGAAUCUUGAGUCCGGGAGAGGUGAGUGGAACUGCGAGUGUAGAGGUGAAAUUCGUAGAUAUUCGCAAGAACACCAGUGGCGAAGGCGGCUCACUGGCCCGGAACUGACGCUGAGGCGCGAAGGCUAGGGGAGCGAACGGG